AUAAAAAAAUAAAAAGGUAUACGACGUAGACAUUAUAACGUACGAGGAAUCAACAAGAAAUACAAAAAGAUACAAAGGACUAACUAGAUAAAAUUUAGAAAAAAAGGAUAAAUAAGGAAAUUAAAAUAGAAAGAAAAAAAAAAUGGAAAAACCAAACACAUUUAAUUUAAGUACAUCCAAAGCAAAGAUACCAAAAAAGAAAAACACCCCUUUUUUCCCACUCACAAACAUUUUAAUUACAAUUUUUGCAUGCAUGAAAGUUCCUAUGCAUUGCUUCUGAAGGAACCAAGAGCUUUAAUAGCACCUGCUCUGAGAAUAUACUGGUGGUAGACGGCAGCGAUGAAAGCUCCGACGAAUGGCCCGACCCAAAAGAUCCAAUGUUCAUCCCAUGCCUUGUCACCGUUGUAAAUUACUGCUGCCCCGAAACUCCUAGCCGGGUUGAUACCAGUUCCGGUGAUCGGAAUAGUUGCAAGGUGAACCAUGAACACGGCGAAUCCAAUUGGAAGUGGUGCCAAGAC